UUUGGUCUAAUUUUGAGUGGGAAAAUUUUUGGACUACAAAAGCGAGAUUUGAAGGCAUUAUUUUUCAUCUUUGGCCAUUUCAUAAAAGUCUUGGAGAGCUAGGGUGUUACGUCCCGUAUUUUUAUACAUUGGAACAACCCGGAUUAACUAUGAUAAUUUAAGGCCAAGAUUAUUCCGGGAUUUGAAGUCGGGACUUUUGACCAUUUGAUUUUAAUUUGAGAUAUAAGUCAUGUAUGAAAUUGAUGGCAUUGAACACUUAGGGAAAAUUGGGACUACAAUUCAUAAAAUUGGAAUUAAAAUGUUGUGCAAAAAAAAAAAAAAUUCCUUGGUGGCCAUGUAAAUGGGAAUUGGUCCCACACAUUGUGUGGCCAAUUUUAAUUGGUCCACCCCAUGUGUGGGCCAUGGACACUUGGACAAUAUUCAUAUAAGCACAAAAGAUGACCAAGUAGUCAUCUUUUCUACCAUUCCAUCAAAAAAAAAAAAAAAGAGCAAGAAGUUGAAGAACAACUUCAACCACACGGCCAAGAACAAAAAAAAAACCAAAUCCAAUUCAAGCCAUCCCAAAAUUAUUUCUUUGGUGUAAACCCACUAUUUUGAGGUCCCUAAGUAGUGUGGAAGUGUUGUUGGGGCGAUCAAAUCAUCCGUUUGGCAAGAUCACAAACCCUAACUAUUUGUGGGAUUGAAGAAGAAAGACCUUGGGGAGCCCGAGGCGUAGAUUUGGAUUAGCUUUAGAUUGGUUCGCUUGGAGUGCGUACGAGGUACAGACGCACAGCCUGGUGAUCCACCUGUUUAGGACACCCUUUCUGCUAUUCGGAGUGCUCCUCUCUUUCCGGAGCUUAUACUUUUGGUAUAUAUAUUUAUUAGUGCAUUUGUAUAUAUUCGUUCAUGGGUACGGCGGGGCCCUGUCCCGUCAUAUGAUUCUGUCGGUCUGUUUAGAGGUUUGUGGACAUGUUUGUGGGUUAGGGUCUUUCUGUAUGGAUGUAUGUACAUGUCGUUUGGGCGAUCCCAUACGCCGAGGCGGCCGGUCCGCAUAUGUUGUUUGGGCGAUCCUAUACGCCGAGGCGGCCGGUCCGCAUAUGUUUAUAUAUUGCUUGG